AUGGACAAGGUGCUGGCCUUCUCCAUCCUGAGCGCGUCGCCGGCCGACGUCGCCCCCGGCGCCGGCGCCAGCUGGGCUCGGUUCUCUUGGCAGGGGAGGAAGCUGCGGGACGACGAACAGGCCAGAGCAGGGCAAGAGGGGAAGCAGGGCGGUCCGCCGGCGGAGGCGGAGCAGCAGCCGGACAAGGGGAGAUCGCAGUCGCCGCCGACGUUGCGGCCGCGGUUCGCGCCGGAGUUCGACGGGAUCGACUGCUUCGAGACCAUCGUGUGCCGCUGA
rnacentral:rRNA from 1 species